rnacentral:rRNA from 1 species
GAUGAACGCUGGCGGCGUGCCUAAUACAUGCAAGUCGAGCGAACAGACGAGGAGCUUGCUCCUCUGACGUUAGCGGCGGACGGGUGCGUAACACGUGGAUAACCUACCUAUAAGACUGGGAUAACUUCGGGAAACCGGAGCUCAUACCGGAUCAUAUAUUGAACCGCAUGGUUCAAUAGUGAAAGACGGUUUUGCUGUCACUUAUAGAUGGAUCCGCGCCGCAUUAGCUAGUUGGUAAGGUAACGGCUUACCAAGGCAACGAUGCGUAGCCGACCUGAGAGGGAGAGCGGCCACACUGGAACUGGGACACGGUCCAGACUCCAACGAGAGGCGGCAGUAGGGAAUCUUCCGCGAAGGGCGAAAGCCUAACGGAGCAACGGCGCGUGAGUGAUGAAGGUCUUCGGAUCGUAAGAUGCAGUUAUUAGGGAAGAACAGAUGUGUAAGUAGCUAUGCACGUCUUGACGGUACCUAAUCAGAAAGCCACGGCUAACUACGUG